AUAUUGGACAAUGGGCGCAAGCCUGAUCCAGCCAUGCCGCGUGAGUGAAGAAGGCCUUAGGGUUGUAAAGCUCUUUCAGCGGGGAAGAUAAUGACGGUACCCGCAGAAGAAGCCCCGGCUAACUUCGUGCCAGCAGCCGCGGUAAUACGAAGGGGGCUAGCGUUGUUCGGAAUUACUGGGCGUAAAGCGCGCGUAGGCGGACAUUUAAGUCAGGGGUGAAAUCCCAGGGCUCAACCCUGGAAUUGCCUUUGAUACUGGAUGUCUGGAGUUCGGGAGAGGUGAGUGGAAUUGCGAGUGUAGAGGUGAAAUUCGUAGAUAUUCGCAGGAACACCAGAAGCGAAGGCGGCUCACUGGCCCGAGACUGACGCUGAGGCGCGAAAGCGUGGGGAGCAAACAGG
rnacentral:rRNA from 1 species